AGAGUUUGAUCAUGGCUCAGGAUGAACGCUAGCGGCAGGCCUAAUACAUGCAAGUCGAGGGGUAGAGUAGGCUUGCUUACUUGAGACCGGCGCACGGGUGCGUAACGCGUAUGCAACCUACCCUUUUCUGGGGGAUAGCCCGAAGAAAUUCGGAUUAAUACCGCAUAAGACCACGAUUCGGCAUCGUAACGGGGUCAAACAUUUAUGGGAGAAGGAUGGGCAUGCGUGCCAUUAGCUAGUUGGCGGGGUAACGGCCCACCAAGGCGACGAUGGCUAGGGGAUCUGAGAGGAUGGCCCCCCACACUGGUACUGAGACACGGACCAGACUCCUACGGGAGGCAGCAGUAAGGAAUAUUGGUCAAUGGAGGCAACUCUGAACCAGCCAUGCCGCGUGCAGGAAGACGGCCCUCCGGGUUGUAAACUGCUUUUAUACGGGAAUAAACCUAUCUUCGUGAAGAUAGCUGAAUGUACCGUAGGAAUAAGGAUCGGCUAACUCCGUGCCAGCAGCCGCGGUAAUACGGAGGAUCCAAGCGUUAUCCGGAUUUAUUGGGUUUAAAGGGUGCGUAGGCGGCCUGUUAAGUCAGGGGUGAAAGACGGUGGCUCAACCAUCGCAGUGCCCUUGAUACUGAUGGGCUUGAAUGGACUAGAGGUAGGCGGAAUGUGACAAGUAGCGGUGAAAUGCAUAGAUAUGUCACAGAACACCGAUUGCGAAGGCAGCUUACUAUGGUCUUAUUGACGCUGAGGCACGAAAGCGUGGGGAUCGAACAGGAUUAGAUACCCUGGUAGUCCACGCCCUAAACGAUGAACACUCGCUGUUGGCGAUAAACAGUCAGCGGCUAAGCGAAAGCGUUAAGUGUUCCACCUGGGGAGUACGCCCGCAAGGGUGAAACUCAAAGGAAUUGACGGGGGCCCGCACAAGCGGAGGAGCAUGUGGUUUAAUUCGAUGAUACGCGAGGAACCUUACCCGGGC
rnacentral:rRNA from 1 species